CAUCACAACAGAAAUCCUCGUCCUCAUCAUCAAAAACAUGACUUUGAUCUGCGUCCUCAUCUGGACUCUCCUCCUCUGCUGCUGCUUCACAGAGUCCAGAGGACAGGUCACAGUGACUCAGCCUGCAGCAGUGACCUCUGCUCUGGGAGCCUCCGUCUCCAUCUCAUGUAGGACCAGUCAGGAUGUUUAUGUCUAUAACAGCUACCACUAUUUAGCCUGGUACCAACAGAAAGAUGGAGGAACUCCUAAACUGCUUAUAUACCGUGCUAGCACUCGAGCAUCAGGGAUUCCAGAUCGUUUUUCAGGCAGUGGAUCAAACUCUGCCUUCACUCUGACCAUCAGUGGAGUCCAGACUGAAGAUGCAGCAGUUUACUACUGUCAGAGUUAUCACUAUAUCAACAGUCAGGUUGUGUUCACACAGUGAAAAAGUGUCGUACAAAAACCUCC